GGAAUCUUGGACAAUGGGGGCAACCCUGAUCCAGCGAUGCCGCGUGAGCGAAGAAGGCCUUAGGGUUGUAAAGCUCUUUCGCCCGCGACGAUGAUGACGGUAGCGGGAGAAGAAGCCCCGGCUAACUCCGUGCCAGCAGCCGCGGUAAUACGGAGGGGGCUAGCGUUGUCCGGAAUUACUGGGCGUAAAGCGCGCGUAGGCGGUCCACCAAGUCGGGGGUGAAAGCCCGGGGCUCAACCCCGGAAUGUCCCCCGAAACUGAUGGACUGGAGUUCGGGAGAGGAGAGCGGAAUUCCCAGUGUAGAGGUGAAAUUCGUAGAUAUUGGGAAGAACACCGGUGGCGAAGGCGGCUCUCUGGCCCGCAACUGACGCUGAGGCGCGAAAGCGUGGGGAGCAAA
rnacentral:rRNA from 1 species